rnacentral:rRNA from 1 species
GCAGUCGAACGCUUCUUUUUCCACCGGAGCUUGCUCCACCGGAAAAAGAGGAGUGGCGAACGGGUGAGUAACACGUGGGUAACCUGCCCAUCAGAAGGGGAUAACACUUGGAAACAGGUGCUAAUACCGUAUAACAAUCGAAACCGCAUGGUUUUGAUUUGAAAGGCGCUUUCGGGUGUCGCUGAUGGAUGGACCCGCGGUGCAUUAGCUAGUUGGUGAGGUAACGGCUCACCAAGGCGACGAUGCAUAGCCGACCUGAGAGGGUGAUCGGCCACAUUGGGACUGAGACACGGCCCAAACUCCUACGGGAGGCAGCAGUAGGGAAUCUUCGGCAAUGGACGAAAGUCUGACCGAGCAACGCCGCGUGAGUGAAGAAGGUUUUCGGAUCGUAAAACUCUGUUGUUAGAGAAGAACAAGGAUGAGAGUAACUGUUCAUCCCUUGACGGUAUCUAACCAGAAAGCCACGGCUAACUACUUGCCAGCAGCCGCGGUAAUACUUAGGUGGCAAGCGUUGUCCGGAUUUAUUGGGCGUAAAGCGAGCGCAGGCGGUUUCUUAAGUCUGAUGUGAAAGCCCCCGG